CCGCUCCAUCCCUUCCGAGGACCGCGCGGCCAGGUCCCCGACCGGAUUCCAGGAGACGCGUCCUUAUCUGACGCCUGCGGGCUGAGCAGAGACGAUGCUUGGAAACAUCCGAUUCACCUGGGGAUCGGAGGCCGCGGGAACCCACCUAAACCCCGCAGGGGCUGCGCCUCUUGGGCUCCGCGGCCAAAGUCUGCCGGGCUGUCGGAGGUGGUUUGGAAGUGGCAUCGCCUAUGGCCAAGACCGCGGGUUCUGCGGACAGAGAGGAGCCCUGGGUUCGCUUUCUGCCUCAUCCAUUUUCCAGCUAGGUGAACUUGGGCAAGCAGGAUGGCCUGGACUUUCUUCCCACGUGGCAGCUGGGUCCCAGGAAGGACAUUCUGAGAGAUCAAGCCCUGAUGUGUACGCACUUCUCAAGCCUCUGCUUGAGUCGCACUUGCCGAUGACUAAGGCCCUGGGACCUCAAGUACAAUGCUGGGAAGAAGAGUUGACGCAGAUAUUUUUGUCUUGCUCCUGAUUUCAAAAGGGAUGUUUCAAACAUUUCACCUUGAAGAAUGAUAUUUGCUGUAAUUAUUUGGUAAAAACUCUUUAUCAGAUUUGUCACUGUGGCUAAGCGCAGGUCAGUUAUCUUCAAUUUAGAAGAUCCUUCUUACCUCUGCUGGCCACCAAAUGGCCCUUCGAUUCUGGCCUUCCCUCCUAACAGUGAUGUGCUGACGCCUGGGUACCAGGUACAGCGCCUGGAGGUCAACAGUAGGCCUGAAGAAGCCCAGCCAUUGGAGGUCUAGCUGGUUGUCAAUCCACAUCCCUUUUCUCCCACUCAAAACUCACUUUGUCUAAAACGCUCUUCCUGAUUACCAGCCUGCGAUCCACCCUGAGUGCGGGGACCACAUCUUUUCAUCUCUCUAUCCCCAGGGCCCAGCCCAAAGCCUGCACAGAGAAGUUGCUCAAAAAUGCUUGUGAAACUGAGUUUGCCCAACCCAAUUCUGAGCUCUUUCUUGGCUCAGUUGAUCCUGAUUUUUAAAGUCGUUUCUCCAAAACGCUCUUGAGCCUUUUUUUGUAUGCGGCACAUGCAUCUGCUGUGUCUCACAAGACAGACAGUGGUUGCUUUGCAGAUAAGAACUGUGUCUACGGAGGAGUUUCUUUUGACUUUCCAAUUUCAGAGGCUGCCCAACACUAGCCCAAAGCCCCUUCAGUGUCUUGUCCAUCUGUGUUCUCAUCCGCACUCCUACUCACACAUUGGAAACUCUAGCACCACCUGUGCCCACUGUCUGUUCUCGAUGACCACUGGUUCGGUGAAUGAAUGCAAGCACAAAACGGUGGCCCUCGAGAUGAAGAGCCCAGGGUUCGACCACUCUCCAGUCGGGCCACUUGGCCACAUAAUCAAUCACUGGACACUAUGUUCCAAACCAAGGGUAAUGAGGCAGCUGCCGCCGUGUCCACUUCCUGUUCUGGGGCCUCAGCGUCUGAAGAGGGCAGACAGCGCGCUCAGGACCUGCCCCUGCCCCGGCCCCUUCGUAUCAGGAAUUCGCUUGUCCUGGAUGGUUCAGCACUUCACAUUUUCAAAAUUUCAGCCAUUGUGUUUAUUGAAAGUGCACCGAGCACAAAACACCGCAGUUCAUCUCUCUCUCUUUCUCGCUCUCUCUCUCGUGGAUGGGAAGAUUGUUCUGAAUCUAUGAAGGCAUUUAUUCACAGUGGCUUCCGAGUCAGGCUCUGCACUACUUCAAUUUUAGAUGUUUUUCUUAAUCUCCUGUUGUGUGUGGCAGUUCAGGAACAGACACUGUGAGACAGAGAGGGGGACUCUGGAUCCGGAUUCAGGCAGCCCGGGUUCAAAUCCUAGGCUUUCCCCUCCCCGUGCCUAGCUGAGUGACCGUGGGCACGUCAUUUCACUUCCAGAAGCCUCGCCUUCGUGGUCCAUCAAAUGAAAUACUAUCUCCCUCUCCAGAGUUGUUGUAAGGAUGAGCUGAAAUGGCGUGUCUGAGCACAGCACAGAGCCGUAUCCCGUUUGUGUACAUUUCCUUCAGUUCAUGCACGUGGCUUCUUUUCCAGGUGAAUUCCAGACUUCGGGAGUUUGUAGACUAGGAAAAUCUCAAAACACGUUUUGAUGAGCAUACUUUUGCCAAGUUUUUAUUUUGCCAACUUUUAAUGUUGCCAAGUAAGAACAGUAUUAAAAAAACCAACACAACUCACCUUCAUCUAUUUCCACUAAAUUUCAUAAAAGAAUAUUUAAAAAAAAAAUCAAGAGGACAUCGUUACGAGUCAAAAAUGGAUUAUGUUUAGCUUUACGAAAACCUCUCUGUAUUGCUCUUACUCAUCUUAUCUUAGAGAUGAGUGAACACUUGGUCUGCAGAUCAGUAUUUGGGAGCCGUCGCUCAUCCCAGACUCGCAGGGCUUUCCAGAUUAGCGGUUCCUCGCUGUAGACGCCUCACCCCGAGGUGGGGAGGCGGAGGCGGAGGAUGAGCGAGCAGCACGUCUUUCGGUGCAAAGCGUAAGGAACUGCUGGGGUGUGAUCGCCGAGCCCAGGGACCUCGGGAUGUUCAGAGACGAGAGCGGAUGUGAGAAACUGAUGUGCACGAUAUAAAGUACGUGAAGAGAACAGAGGCAGAACAUUUCCUGAGUUCCAGGUGGAAUACUGGCCGUGUUUGCAUUUUGGGUUUUUAAAAAAGGAUUGCAAGCAAGCGAUCAAAACUUGCCACAUCCGUCACUGAAGAGUGUGCGGGCUCGUGACGGUUUCACUCUGACGCAGCUCCCAAUUGCCUGCGGUUUUUCAGACACAUCCCCCUACAAUAUCCUUUGGGGUCAAAACAUUCCAUAGCUGGUCUAAGGGCAGAGGUGAAUCGUUUUUGAGAAGUUUGGGCUCUCUCUGCUCAGCUGGUUUUGCUUAGGGGAGUGUGGAAAGAUCCCUAGGGGUUCUUUUCUAGGAGAAAAAAAUUACACACGCACACCACAGACACACACAUCAUUUGGGGCCUUUUAAAGUCGGGUUAACUCCUACCUGGGGAGGGAACCUCGGCCAGAUGGGAAAUCUUAGUGGAUGACAAUUGAACUGCACUGACCCAUCUGGUGUCUGGAAGGAGGCGCAGAGCAGGCCUGUGCCAACUCUGGGUCCACGUGGGAGCACGCUGCCCUGUGCUGGGGGCCUGCUCCUGAGCCCCAGGUACUGCUGAUUUUGCAGAAUAAACGUCACAAGCACUUACUAUGUGCUGAGUCCUCUGUGAAGUACCUCGCUUCUAUUGUCUUGUCUAACCCUCACAUAGCUCUUUGAGCCAAGCCCUAAUCAGAAGGCCCAUUUCACAGAUGAGAAAACUGAGGCUUACACAGCAUUAGGCAAAGGUGUCCAAAGUCGCACUGCGGCCCAUGAGCGGUAGAGCUGGGACAUAAACACAGGUCUUUCUGAACAGUAACUACUAGGAUGUUUAGCUCCUAAAAUCUGAGGUCUGAAAUGAGUGGGAAAGGAGCUUGAACCACCCGUCUAAGGUGGCAUUUGGAAAAGGAGACCUUGCCCACCACACACACACACACACACACACACACACGCACAGGCUCUUUAAACUCUCUGAAGCCCUCCUAAAACACACAGCGUUGCCCCCCCCCCCCCCCCGUAAAAAGGCAACCUAGGAAACUUGCGGGAGAAUAAUUUAGCAGCAUCUAUCCAAAGCCUCAAAAUAUUUAUGCCCUUUGACCCAGAAAUUGCCCUGCUAGGCAUCUGCGCCGUAACCAGGAUGUUCCAGGCUUCUCCGGCCCAUGGGUACAAGGGCUGUGCUCAAGCGUCACCUCCUUAGCGGACUGUCUUGCCCCGGCUUUGCCCCCAGUGACUAAAACACCAGCUGACUCACUGAGGGCCCUCCACAAAGGUUCCCGAAGGAACAGAUGAGCUUAUGUUACAUAAAUACCUCCAAUCUCAAGACUCUGCUCAGGCAGCAGAUCGAGUCUUUUACGAAUGUCCCCCUCCCCCACGCUGCUCAGGUUCCCUUGAAGUUUCCAUAAGGUGGUCCUGCUCAUCGCGCAGCAUGGCUGCCGGCAGGUGGACGGGGACACUCAGGCAUGUCCCUUGAGGCCAGAGUCCACAAAGCCUGGCCUCCUCAGGACCCUCCAAGGAGCCGCUCCUGCGGUGUCACCGGCACCUGCCGUCCUCCCCAGCCCCCAGUGCUGCCUCCUUUUCGAGGUAUCCUCUUGCUGCUGGUUGUGCCAGGACUUGGGGCUCCCCCCUUGGCGAGGCGAUUUCAAGCCAGCAGGCCACCCCCUACCUGGCGUUUGCACAAACCUCUGCCUGUGAGCGCAGGCAGUGAGGAGGCGCCCCUAGUUUUGCCAGGUACUGUCAGCGAGGCUUCUGCAGCAAAGCUGCCUGGGUCCCUGCCUGUUCCAGACUUUUCCCUGCACCCCAACAAGCGGACAUGUCCCAAGGCAUGUCCAGCCUCCAGGCUGCGGGGGACGGCGGGUCCACCCUCAGUGUCUGCAGCCUGCAUUCUCCCUAUCGCAGGCCCUGCAGCUGGGCUGGUUCAGCACGAGGGCUGCCUUCUCUCCUCCAGCGGUGAGGUGAGGCGCGGGGAGGGGCACGUAUCAGAAUCAGAAUGAGAAUCUCCGCGCGGCAAGCGUGGGUGACAGAGGCCAACGAGGGCCUGCCUCCUUCCCUGAGGACACCUGCCAAGGGUGAGCCCAUGUCUCCCUGCCUAUUCUCUCUCCUCGGGGUGCUUUUCCUGCAAUCUGGACUCAGUUUUAAUGUUGUUUUCUUUUAAUCAACUUCAUAGAGGUAUAAUUUACAUACAACGAAAUGCACCACAUUUUAAGUGCACAAAGAGUUUUGACAACUGCAUAAACCCAUGUCACCACUACUACAUUCAAGAUACAGAACAUUUCCAUCACCCCACAAAGCCCCCUUGAGCCCUCUGCCAUCAGUCUCCUCCCCCCUCGCACCCCACCCCAGGCACUGGCUUAUUUUCUGUCCUUAUGACUUAGUUUUGCCUGUUUUGGAACUUCAUAUAGAUGGAAUCAUCCUGAAUGCACUCUUUUGUGUCUGGGCUCAGCGUGUUCUUGAGAUGUUUGUAUGUUGUUACACAUAGCAAUAGUUCCUUUCUUCUCAUUGCUGAGUAGUAUUCCAUUGUCUCGUUCUACCACAGCUUGUUUACAGGUUCACCUGUUGCAGUGUCUUGGCUUUUAUAAAUAGAGAUGCUAUGAAUAUAUUCUCAAAGAUGUUCAUUGCAGUCUUGUUUAGAAAUGGUAAAAAAAAAACAAAAAACAAAGAAACAAAAAAACCUGGAAAUAAUCCAAGUGUCAAAAAUUAGUAGACUACCGAUCCUAGGACCGGGGCAGGAAAUAUACAAGAUAAGCCUGUAGCAUCUUGUAGUGUGAGAAAGUAAGAAAGUGCUCAAAGAAACAAACAAACAAGGAUAAACUCACAACCUUACAAGUAUGUCAAAAGGAUGAGGGAGCCAGAUGAAAGAGCUCCCAACGGCGAAACGUGGAACAAUUUGAGGAGAAAAAUAAACUAGUAUUGGGUUACAACCCAAAGUAUAAAAUAAAUAUCCACAAGUCCAUAUUGAUAUUUGAUUGAAUAAAUUAGACAAAUCUCGCGUGCAGAAGAAUUUCAAAUAAUUACGUAGGUACUCUGCCCUCACGCAGCGGGGAGCAUUACUCCCCACUCCAGAAGUGUGGGCUUCACACAGUGACGUCCUUCCAGAGUACAGUACAGAAAAGGGAAAAGAAAGGGAGACACUUUACAGUGGAGAAAUGUGACAGACGCCACCAGCCAGGGAAUCAAGGUCAAAAUCAACAGUGACGGGUCAUGUUGAUAGUAUGGCCCCUUGAUAUGAUGCGAUGAAAAUGGCAGUUUACUUCUGUGGUCUUCUUCCCCAAAACGUGUAACCGCAGUCUAAUCAUGAGAAAAUCGUCAGAAAUCUCAGUUGAGAGGCAUUCUACAGAAGACCUGACAAGUACCCCUCAGAGCUGUCAAGGUCAUCAAAACCAAGGGAAGUUAAGAAACCGUCUCAGCCAUGAGCAGCCUCAGCAGACACGACAACUAAAUGUAAUGUGGAAUCUCGGAUGGAAUCCUGGAAUAGAAAAAGAGCAUUAGAAAAAUGUUACUCUUAAAAACAAAAGAAAGAAGGAGGAAAGGAAGGAAGGACAGCUGGGAUCCUGAGGAACUUACAAGAUGUGUCUUGAUUUGAUGACGUGAA
rnacentral:lncRNA from 1 species